rnacentral:rRNA from 1 species
UACGUAGGGCGCAAGCGUUAUCCGGAAUUAUUGGGCGUAAAGAGCUCGUAGGCGGUUUGUCGCGUCUGCCGUGAAAGUCCGGGGCUCAACUCCGGAUCUGCGGUGGGUACGGGCAGACUAGAGUGAUGUAGGGGAGACUGGAAUUCCUGGAUGUAGCGGUGAAAUGCGCAGAUAUCAGGAGGAACACCGAUGGCGAAGGCAGGUCUCUGGGCAUUAACUGACGCUGGAGGAGCGAAAAGCAUGGGGAGCGAACAGG